AACAGGGAUUGCCCUAGUAACGGCGAGUGAAGCGGCAACAGCUCAAAUUUGAAAGCUGGCCUUCGGGUCCGCAUUGUAAUUUGUAGAGGAUGCUUUGGGUGAAACGCCAGUCUAAGUUCCUUGGAACAGGACGUCAUAGAGGGUGAGAAUCCCGUAUGUGACUGGAAAUGUUAACCUAUCUCACGCUCCCUCGACGAGUCGAGUUGUUUGGGAAUGCAGCUCUAAAUGGGAGGUAAAUUUCUUCUAAAGCUAAAUAUUGGCGAGAGACCGAUAGCGCACAAGUAGAGUGAUCGAAAGAUGAAAAGCACUUUGGAAAGAGAGUUAAAAAGCACGUGAAAUUGUUGAAAGGGAAGCGCUUGCAAUCAGACUUGUUUAAACUGUUCGGCCGGUCUUCUGACCGGUUUACUCAGUUUGGACAGGCCAGCAUCAGUUUCGGCGGCCGGAUAAAGGCUCUGGGAAUGUGGCCUUCACUUCGGUGAAG
rnacentral:rRNA from 1 species